GAAAGUGCUGCACUUACGCGGAUGGCCGAAUUUUCGAGGACAUCUCACUGAUGGAUUUUCUUGGUGUUUUCGUGGAAGACGUACCCGUACCUUGUUCGUAAGAUUUUUAACGGGGUAUAUCAAACCUAUGUUAGGAUAUGUUAAAUUAAUCUGCAAAUCAACGUUAAUGUAUUUUUGCUAUCGUUAUCACAGCUUUGGUAAUAUGUUUAAAUCUCACUAUGCUAUGCGACGGUGCGUUAUCUCAUCUUUAAGAUAAAUAAAGGAUCGAUGCUCACGAUUCCAAAUGAAAUCACAACGAAAGACGGACACAUUUCCCUCGAGCACUACAGUUAUAUUAAAACUGGACCAAGUUUCAGUACGGUUAUUAGCUAAUUCAGCAGGGGUUUUGUAUAUAUUUAAAAUUCUUUAAAGAAGAGAUAUCCGUAUAAUAGUGUACUACUCGUACAGAUAUCAGGAAUAUUCUAAUAUGGAGGUGAUUUAAUAACAUAACAUUGAAAUAGCUCGCCAAUAUAAUGAGGAACAGCCAUUCAAUUGAGAUAUGCUCUUAUUGUAUUAACGAGAGUCAUAUUAGAUAGGAAAAAAACCUGUCAAUAGUGUAUACUAAUUGAUACACAAAAGAAGCUACA